rnacentral:rRNA from 1 species
UGAGGAAUAUUGGUCAAUGGGCGGGAGCCUGAACCAGCCAAGCCGCGUGAGGGAGGAAGGCCCUAUGGGUCGUAAACCUCUUUUGUCAGGGAACAAAAAGCGAGUAUGUAUACUAGUCUGAGUGUACCUGAAGAAAAAGCAUCGGCUAACUCCGUGCCAGCAGCCGCGGUAAUACGGAGGAUGCGAGCGUUAUCCGGAUUUAUUGGGUUUAAAGGGUGCGUAGGCGGCGGUGCAAGUCAGCGGUAAAAGCCCGGGGGCUCAACCCCGGCGAGCCGUUGAAACUGCAGUGCUAGAGAAGGCGAGAGGUACGCGGAAUGCGCAGUGUAGCGGUGAAAUGCUUAGAUAUUGCGCAGAACUCCGAUUGCGAAGGCAGCGUACUGGCGCCUGACUGACGCUGAGGCACGAAAGCGUGGGGAUCGAACAGGAUUAGAUACC